CAAUGAUAAAGGCUGUGGAUUUCUAUAAAAUUUCCAUAUGUUUAGCAUUGAAUCAACACAAGGGUACAUAAUCCUUAAGCAAAUCUAAAAUAGCUUUAUGUAAAAAAAAGUCUUAUUUAAAAAAAAAAAAAAAAAAAUUAUUUUUCAAAAAUAUAAAAGUUGUAAAAAAUGAAUGUUAUAACCUUCAUUGAUUAUAUUAUAAACAAAAUCUGCAGUACACAUCUUAACUCAAAAAUUUAACUAAGUACUUAAUCUGUCCUAUAUAUGUCAGAAACAUAUUUCUCAUAUUCAAAAUAUAAAGUGUCAAUAUCAAAUUGUUCAUGUACCUCAAACAUUUCUUGAUUAUUAAAUUUUAGAAUGAGGUGUUCUGUGUACUCGGUUAUUGGUUUGUCUGCGACAUUAUCUCGCCCAAUCCCUAUAGAAUUCACA
rnacentral:lncRNA from 1 species